GCUGAAUGACCUUUAUUCUUCAAAGAUGGCUAAAAAUUCAUCCUUCUCUCAAGGUUGGACUUUCUCUUCAUGAUGUUGACUUAUUUGAAUCAGGUUGAUUAUUUUAGACUCUUCUUGUAUACAUAGAACCUUGACCAAGUUUUGACUAGCUUGCUCCUUCCAAAUGCCUUCUAAUAAACAAGUUAAGGCUUCUUUCAUCCUUUUAGUUUUCGCUCUUG
rnacentral:lncRNA from 1 species